GGGGACUUAGCUCAGUGGUAGAGCGCUUGCCUAGGAAGCGCAAGGCCCUGGGUUCGGUCCCCAGCUCCCCA
rnacentral:tRNA from 1 species